UGACGACCCGCUUCUAGGCGGUCUCCUCCCCCAGACUAUGAGGGCCGGCGCGCAAUCGCCGGCCCUUUUUCUUUGGUUGC
rnacentral:sRNA from 1 species